rnacentral:misc_RNA from 1 species
GGUAAAAUGGCAAAACAAGAUAAAAAUGGCAGUUUAGUAAUUUUGAUAGAGGAUCUAUAAGUCCUUAUGAGAACCGAGGAAAGGCAAAAUCAUACCCAACAGAAUUGGUAGGGAUCGAACAAAAGGAAGUUGAAUUCUGUAUAGCAACAAGAACAAGAAACACGAGUGGCUCAUUGGUUUCCAAAAGAUCAUACCUAAUAGAAUUGGCAGGGAUCAGAAUCAAAAGGGAAAUAUGGCACGAAUUUUCUCUUUUUUUUUUUUUUUUU